rnacentral:rRNA from 1 species
CUUGAGUAACUAUAAGAGGUCCAGCCUGCCCAGUGACUUUGUUCAACGGCCGCGGUAUCCUAACCGUGCGAAGGUAGCGUAAUCACUUGUCUUUUAAAUGGGGACUUGUAUGAACGGCAUCACGAGGGUUAUACUGUCUCCUUUUUCUAAUCAGUGAAACUAAUCUUCCCGUGAAGAAGCGGGAAUAAACAUAUAAGACGAGAAGACCCUAUGGAGCUUUAAACUCAAUAACAAAUACUGGCCUUACAUCAACUUUCAGAAGAUUCACCUUAAUUUUAGUAUUAUGAUUAUUAGUUUUAGGUUGGGGUGACCGCGGAGUAAAAAUUAACCUCCACAUUGAACGGGACCUAUCCCUGAGCCAAGAACUACAGCUCAAAGCACCAACAAAUUGACAUUAAUUGACCCAAUAUUUUGAUCAACGAAC